rnacentral:rRNA from 1 species
AUUGAACGCUGGCGGCAGGCCUAACACAUGCAAGUCGAGCGGAGCGGCGGACGGGUGAGUACUGCCUAGGAAUCUGCCUGGUAGUGAGGGAUCACGUCCGGAAACGGGCGCUCAUACCGCAUACUAUCAGAUGAGCCUAGGUCGGAUUAGCUAGUUGGUGGGGUAAUGGCCUACCAAGGCGACGAUCCGUAACUGGGCUGAGAGGAUGAUCAGUCACAAUGGAACUGAGACACGGUCCAGACUCCUACGGGAGGCAGCAGUAGGGAAGAUUGGACAAUGGGCGAAAGCCUGAUCCAGCCAUGCCGCGUGUGUGAAGAAGGUCUUCGGAUUGUAAAGCACUUUAAGUUGGGAGGCGUUACCAACAGAAUAAGCACCGGCUAACUUCGUGCCAGCAGCCGCGGUAAUUC